rnacentral:lncRNA from 1 species
UACGGUUUAUACUUUAUAAGGACGUAGGUGUAAGGUAUCACCGAUAUGGGAUAUGAGUAGGGUUAUUGGAAUUGUUGAAAAAGAACGAAUUUGAUUGGUUGAAAGAUAUUAUAUAAAAAAAGGAAUGAAACACGUUGGUACCCUUGCAUCUUCUAAUCAACUUUUCCUCAGUAAUGUACUAAUCAUCAACAAAGUUAUCUAUUCAUCCUUUAUGGUCAGUGGUCACCAAGAAGUUAUGUGUACAAUUCCUGUAAUGAUGUAAUUUCCAUGUACAUGCAAUGCAUCAAUGGGUAAUUUAUUCAGUUCAAAUUUUCGAACAGAGUUGAUGAUCACAAUGGAGUUUACUUUUAGACACCUGUAUACUCUUGCAUAGUGGCCUCUCGAACCACAUCUUGUGCGUUCGACUCUUUUUGCAAGGCAAUCUUCCCUAUUUAUGAGGACAUUGGAAACCACACUGUCUACACAAUUUUUCUUGGCUCCUGUUCCACGAUCUCCUUCAGCUUUGACUUCUUCGAUAUAUAUUGAAUCUACAUGACUUUGUAUUUGCGAUAACACCCUUUGAUACUAAUUCAUUUAGACUAUUUUGAUUAUUCUUUGCCGUUUCUACUAUUAUCCACUAAUAUAUACUUCACAUAUUUUAUUUGCACCAUCAAAACAUCUUAAUUGUGAUCCUCUAUACUCACGGACUCCGGUCAAUUUGUUAUACGUCAUCCUUGAAUGCUCUUUCAAAUAGAAGAUAUAUACUUGUAUCUCAGGUCUAACGAUGAUUAGGUGUACUUUAGGAGGCUUGAACACGAAGAGUUUCAAUGAACAAUUUUUGGUCUUUGUAGAUCUCGGCUUGAUUUCCCUCUUAAGCUGGGAAUUAUCUUCUGUUAUCACCAAAGCAUCUUAUGAGGGCAAACUACUUUAGACUAUCUCAAUCACAGAUAGUCAGUAAAAUCAUUAUGGUGGACUAUCUCUUUAUCAAUUAUGAGUGAUCUUAUUUUCAAAUUUCCUGGAUUUACUCUCUCACUCUCCAAAAACUUAUUUUCACCUCUUGGAACUUUUUCUCCCCGAUUAUGCUCAAUCAAGAGCUUUGUUUUGUCAAAUAUUAUGGGAUAAUUAUUUAUAAGAAAAAAACAUCAAACCGUGUUUUCUUUCCUCUUUCAUUGUGGACUACAACUUUUUAUUUUUAAAGUACCACGUUGAAUUUUAAAAAAACUGCAUUUUUAAUUUAUCUACAAUAUAUGUGUAGAUAGUUUGAU